UACGGGGGGUGCGAGCGUUGUCCGGAAUUACUGGGCGUAAAGAGCUCGUAGGUGGUUUGUCGCGUUGUUCGUGAAAACCGGGGGCUUAACCCUCGGCGUGCGGGCGAUACGGGCAGACUGGAGUACUGCAGGGGAGACUGGAAUUCCUGGUGUAGCGGUGGAAUGCGCAGAUAUCAGGAGGAACACCGGUGGCGGAGGCGGGUCUCUGGGCAGUAACUGACGCUGAGGAGCGAAAGCGUGGGGAGCGAACGGG
rnacentral:rRNA from 1 species